rnacentral:rRNA from 1 species
AACGAACGCUGGCGGCAUGCCUAACACAUGCAAGUCGAACGAGACCUUCGGGUCUAGUGGCGCACGGGUGCGUAACGCGUGGGAACCUGCCCUUAGGUUCGGAAUAACUCCCCGAAAGGGGUGCUAAUACCGGAUAAUGUCUUCGGACCAAAGAUUUAUCGCCUUUGGAUGGGCCCGCGUUGGAUUAGCUAGUUGGUAGGGUAAAAGCCUACCAAGGCGACGAUCCAUAGCUGGUCUGAGAGGAUGAUCAGCCACACUGGGACUGAGACACGGCCCAGACUCCUCCGGAAGGCGGCGGUGGGGAAUAUUGAACAAUGGCGAAAGCCUGAUCCAGCAAUGCCGCGUGAGUGAUGAAGGCCUUAGGGUUGUAAAGCUCUUUUACCCGGGAUGAUAAUGACAGUACCGGGAGAAUAAGCUCCGGCUAACUCCGUG